UGAUUGCCUUUGAGCAAGACAGUUGAGUGUAGCUAACAGAAAUAGACCUUUGGCUUUACGUGCCCAUGGCCACCAAUUGCUGUCUGGAAGUACAAAGCUCAAUUAUGCAGGGUCUCAAAAAUAUGCUUUUUUGGUUUUUUUCUUGAAACUUAGAGAUUUGCUUGAAUCCUGGUGUGGCUGAUGAGCAUUUACUUAAAUAUCAUACAUAUUUUAAAUAUACAGUUUAUGUAAACAUUCAGGUACAACUGUAACAGAGACAGAUUCACCCAACAGCCUCAUGUAUUUGUAUGUUCUCUUUAUAUAUUUAGUGGGUUUCAAUUUACAAUCCCAACUUGGUCAUGAAGAGAGUCAUAUUUUUCUUCAUCUUUCCAUAGCUGAACUGUGUCAUUCAUUGUCUGUUCUCUUGGUGCAAGUGGUACAUAGUACUGUUUCCAGGGCUGGGCGAGCUCUCAAGUUGGCUGGGCCAUCUCCAUAUCUCAGCUUUCAUUGGCACUACUGCUUUCCUGAGAUCCUCCUUACUUAUUUUCUCUCCGAGCUUCUGCUAACGGGUCCCCAUGCCCUGCAUCGUGGCUGUCCCCAGUAGGCAUGUGGCUCUUGACUCUCAGCUGUCUUCUGUUUACCUUACCUUACCUUAAAUUGUGGGAAGACUUUCAGAUCUCUUCCAUGCCCAAAUACCUGGGCAGGGAGCCAUGAUGGGUCCUCUCACCUUAAGAUUUGCCCAGAUGUCUUCCUCACUCUCCUUAUGGCCACCAUGUUGGGGCAGGGAGCAGGUUUGAGGGGAAAACCAGAAGUUCACUUUUAAACAUCUUACAUUUGGGAUGCUAAUAGACAUGCAGGUAGAGUUGGCAGUUGAAUAUGCACGUCUGGAGUUCAGGGGAGAGGUCUGGCACUCUAGAUAAGAAUUUGGAAGUCAUUCGCCUUUAGGUCAUACUGACAGCUAUGAGCCUGGAUAAGACCACAAAGAGAGUAAAUGUAGAUAGAAAAGUGAGGAGAGAAGGUGGAUUCAUUUAAAGGAAGGAAAGAAACCUGAAAAGCUACUGUAAAUAAUGAUCAUAAUUUAAAGGAAAUCAUUACAGGCUCUAAGCCUGGGUGGGAUGUUAAUGCAAGGGAUUGUUUAACAUGGGCUCAUGUAGUAAGUUACAAAGAAAUGGUAUGGAAGUGGAAAGAAACCUGUAAACUUAAAUGUAAAGGGGGUUACGAUUUUCAUAGAUCAAUUACUGGCCUGAAUUUUGUCAAAAGGUAUUGUUUGAGGCAAUGCCACUGGAAAUACUUAGCAGGAACUGUGGUAAUAACCAUGGAGAGGUUCUUCCUUAGAGGAGAGAGACAGAAGCACCCAUCUGGAUGGCUGAGGAAGGGGUUUUCAGUUGAGUCUCCUAAAAUUCUUAUACCUACUCUCAGCAAACUAAAUAUUAUACAGUGAUGCUAGGCGUCCUCAACCCAGGGGAAAAAAAGCACAGAAAGUAAAUAUCUUUCUCAAACAAUUAAAAACAAACUUUGAAAAUAUGAUUAUUUUUAAAAGUUUUAUUUGGAAAAUCUGAAAGUACAUUUGAUUUGCAGUGAUUCCAGUAGGUACAUUGUUGCUUCAAAUUGUACCUAUGAUUUCUGAUUUCAUUUAGGUUUCCAGAUUUUCUGGUUUAUCUCACUUGUUAUAUAAAAACAGCUAGGUCCUUUCCUUUGAAAAUACCUGUAGGAAUUUUUCCCUCAGACUGAGGAGAAAUUUUAUGGGUGGACCAUAAAGAAACUCUUUAAAAAUUAGUCAACAGUUGCUGUGUUCUUAGGCAUCAAUACUGUGUAGGUGUGUGAGGUGAAAAUACUUUAUGCAAAAAUGGGAACAUAAAAUAUGUUAAAUGAAGAGAAAUCUUUCUCAGUCCUAAAUUUGGUUUAUUAACUAUUUUGUCUUUGGUUGGUUUCCAAAUGAAGAUGUUCUUUUAAAAAGAAAAGUGGUGUUUAAUGACUUUGAAUACUUCUCUGUAAAACCCUCUUCCAAGGGGGUUGAAUAAUUUAUGAGUCUUUAAUAUUGGAGAGGGAAGUUAUUCCUCGAAGGCUAGCUUUUCAUAACCACUUUGCCAUGGCUGAUUGAUCUCUCUACUCACAAGGCUACACCCGCACGAAGCACACAACCCCGUGGUCACUGAACUCCAGUACUGAGCACAUAAGAAGAGGCUCACAGUGACACAGACACAUACACAACAUUAAUUUUAGUGUAUUAGAGGGAAAAAAAACAUCCCUGAGAUAAAGAAAGAGAAGUGGGAUGUAGGGCAAAGACAGAAGUUACGUUUCACUAAAAGCAGAUGAAGUCGCGGCCCUGCUGUGGUAAGUCUGCAGGUGUUUAAUUUCACUCACUUUGGAAUUGAAGCCUGAAAUGUUUCCUGAGAGGUUGGACUUGCACGGGUAUCCAUGGCCAUACGUCUGUAUCUUCAGAUAAAUCUGCAGCAUUUCACACAGUAGUUCAUGAUCUAUUUUCUGUUUUCUUUAAGCUUUUGAUUAUACCAACUCAUCAUUUUGCUCCAGGUCAGGGGUCACUGACCAGCCUGUGUACUGGCUUCCCAUGAGUCCAGUGGCCUUCUCUGGUUCAGUCCAUUAUGAACAGGGAUACUGGGUUGUUCACAUAAUACUAGAUUUGGCUACUGUUGGUGGGACAGUGCCCUGUGAGAUGUCUCAGGGUAGGUCUUCUGACCUUACUGGUACACUCAUGUCCUGGUCUUCUGAUAAAAGUAUAAUUUUCCAUAAAUGAUGUUCUCCUCAAUAUACAGAUAUUCAUAACAGGACUUGUGAGCCUGAUUGAAAAGAGACUUUACUUAUAUCCACUUGAUUUUAAGCCUACCCAUUUUAGUAUCUCCUCGAAAAAAUUGUUACCUUUCCUAGGAUUGAACUCUCUUCCCUCUUGUAUAGGCCAUAUCUGGAAGGUCCUAAAAUCUUCCAGGCACUUUGAUUCCAAAAUGGAAAAGUGAUUUGAGGCAGAGGGUAACAGUUGUGCAAACAAUGGGCUAACCAGAAAGUUUUAAAAAGUUGGGGAAUGAGGUAUCCAUGAGGGGCUUGGAAAAGCUCUGAUAUGUUCCUGGUAAUCUAGAAGGCCAUGCUCAUACUUAGGUCUGUGUGUAUUCCCAGGGCUGCGUGCAUGCUCAUGGAAGACCUGAAGAGGCCCUAAGCUCUCACCUCUUGCUGAACUUGAGGUGUUAGGCAAGCAGGAAGCAAAGGCUGAGGUGGAGUGUAAACUGCCUGGCUGAGUAUUGAAGGCAUGUGCCAACAGCACAGAGCCACUCAGCAAAGACAGGAGACUUCUUAGUUCCAGGCAUUUAAGGCAAUCUCUGUUCAAUCAUUAGCUGUCUGCUAAGAUAAUAGACCAGAGACUUCAGUGGCUAUACCUGGCAAAUGAAUAUAGACUUUACAGAGUUCAUUCGGAAAAGUCACUAAACAAACAACAACAAAAAUAAACCUUGUGGAAAGAGGAAAGUCUGAUUUCCAAACUUGCCAAAUUAUAUCAUUUGAGAUGCUCAGUUUUCAACAAAAAUUAAUGAGAUACAC
rnacentral:lncRNA from 1 species